rnacentral:rRNA from 1 species
UGGUGGAGUGAUUUGUCUGGUUAACUCCGUUAACGAACGAGACCUCGACCUGCUAACUAGGUCCGCGAACACCUCGGUGUUCGUCGGGCACUUCUUAGAGGGACUAUCGGUGUUCUAGCCGAUGGAAGUUCGAGGCAAUAACA